rnacentral:tRNA from 1 species
GACCCCGUAGCUCAACCGGAUAGAGCACUUGCCUUCUAAGCAAGGGGUUGCGUGUUCGAGUCACGCCGGGGUCGCCA